AAUGAACGCUGGCGGCGUGCCUAACACAUGCAAGUCGUACGAGAAAUCCCGAGCUUGCUUGGGAGAGUAAAGUGGCGCACGGGUGAGUAACGCGUGGGUAACCCACCUUCGAAUCUGGGAUAACUCCGCGAAAGCGGUGCUAAUACCGGAUAAGACCACAGCCGUUUCGGCGGCAGAGGUAAAAGCUGACCUCUCCAUGGAAGUUAGCGUUCGAGGACGGGCCCGCGUCCUAUCAGCUUGUUGGUGGGGUAAAGGCCUACCAAGGCAGCGACGGGUAGCUGGUCUGAGAGGAUGAUCAGCCACACUGGAACUGGAACACGGUCCAGACUCCUACGGGAGGCAGCAGUGAGGAAUUUUGCGCAAUGGGGGAAACCCUGACGCAGCAACGCCGCGUGGGUGAAGAAGGCUUUCGGGUCGUAAAGCCCUGUCAGGUGGGAAGAACCGUUUCGAUACUAAUAAUGUCGAAGCCUGACGGUACCACCAGAGGAAGCACCGGCCAACUCCGUG
rnacentral:rRNA from 1 species